CUUAAUUAUAAAUUUUAAAUUAAAAAAAAAAAAAGUUAAAAUCAAAUAGAUAACAUUCUACAAAAAUGUGUAGCAACCUGCACUAUUUUCGGGACACAAAAACUUUCUUUUUUUCAUAUUCAUGCGUAUCGACGUCGAGAUGAUCGAGGGUUUUACAACAUUCAAAUUUCAGAUAGAUUUUUGUGGUGCGUCUGCAAUUCUACAAUUUAAGGGUUUAGUAUAUGGUGUAUCUGCGGAUUGAGAAAGCUUCAUUUUGAGGUCGUUCUGCACAUGCUAUGGAUUCGAAGGAGAAUGGACAAUUUCAUCUUUCCCACCUUCUUUUAAUGGUUUGGCAGUUUUCUUAGUAACCCUUAUAUCAUCAUUCCAUGACUUGCAGAUUUGUCGGCCAUAGCGAGGAACUUUGCGUAGAAGAGCUCAGAAGGUUUGCAGCUAGAGGAGCGCUUUCAAAUCCGGAUCCGACCUGGGACCUAACGUUCGGACCCGAUCUGGGUCCUGGUAUAGGUUCAAGAAUUGGAUCCGGUGGGUCGGGUCUGGGUCCAAAUAACGGUCUCUCUCCCCAAGUGCUGCAGGUGUCAUCGUAAGAGUGUCCUCCCAACUUCCGUCUUCAACAUUUCAAGUAGAAAAGAGUU